GGUAAGAGCACCCGACUGCUCUUCC
rnacentral:misc_RNA from 1 species